rfam:Bacteroidetes bacterium RIFCSPLOWO2_12_FTLL_37_12 rifcsplowo2_12_scaffold_256, whole genome shotgun sequence.
GGCGAGGUAGCUCAGAUGGUUAGAGCGCAGGAUUCAUAACCCUGAGGUGGAGGGUUCGACUCCCUCCCUCGCUA